ensembl:lncRNA GBA1LP glucosylceramidase beta 1 like, pseudogene
GGGAAGCCAGAAUUACUUGCAGGAGUAACCUAGUGCCUAUAGCUAUGGCAGGUACCUGCAUCCUUGUUUUUGUUUAGUGGAUCCUCUAUCCUUCAGAGACUCUGGAACCCCUGUGCUCUUCUCCUCAUCUAGUGACCCUGAGGUGAUGGAGUUUUCAAGUCCUUCCAGAGAGUCAUUCCUCAUUCUGUCCUCAGGAAUGUCCCAAGCCUUCGGGUAGGGUGCCUUCAGCCGCUACAAGAGCAGAAGCAGUGGGCAUUGGAUGGAGCUGAGUACAGGACCAUACAGGCUAAUUGCACCGGCACAGGAAUCGGAUAUAACAUCAUCUGGGUACCCAUGGCCAGCUGUGACUUCUCCAUCCGCACCUACACCUAUGCAGACACCCCUGAUGAUUUCCAGUUGCACAACUUCAGCCUCCCAGAGGAAGAUACCAAGCUCAAGAUACCCCUGAUUCACCGAGCCCUGCAGUUGGCCCAGCGUCCCGUUUCACUCCUUGCCAGCCCCUGGACAUCACCCACUCGGCUCAAGACCAGGGGAGCGGGGAAUGGGAAGGGGCCACUCAAGGGACAGCCCAGAGACAUCUACCACCAGACCUGGGCCAGAUACAUUGUGAAGUUCCUGGAUGCCUAUGCUGAGCACAAGUUACAGUUCUGGGCAGUGACAGCUGAAAAUGAGCCUUCUGCUGGGCUGUUGAGUGGAUACCCCUUCCAGUGCCUGGGCUUCACCCCUGAACAUCAGCGAGACUUCAUUGCCCGUGACCUAGGUCCUACCCUUGCCAACGGUACUCACCACAAUGUCCGCCUACUCAUGCUGGAUGACCAACGCUUGCUGCUGCCCCACUGGGCAAAGGUGGUACUGACAGACCCAGAAGCAGCUAAGUAUGUUCAUGGUAUUGCUGUACAUUGGUACCUGGACUUUCUGGCUCCAGCCAAAGCCACCCUAAGGGAGACACACCACCUGUUCCCCAACACCAUGCUCUUUGCCUCAGAGGCCUGUGUGGGUUCCAAGUUCUGGGAGCAGAGUGUGCGGCUAGGCUCCUGGGAUCGAGGGAUGCAGUACAGCCACAGCAUCAUCACAAACCUCCUGUACCAUGUGGUCGGCUGGACCGACUGGAACCCAUCAUUGUAGACAUCACCAAGCACACGUUUUACAAACAGCCCAUGUUCUACCACCUUGGCCACUUCAGCAAGUUCAUUCCUGAGGGCUCCCAGAGAGUGGGGCUGGUUGCCAGUCAGAAGAACGACCCGGACGCAGUGGCACUGAUGCAUCCCGAUGGCUCUGCUGUUGUGGUCGUGCUAAACCGCUCCUCUAAGGAUGUGCCUCUUACCAUCAAGGAUCCUGCUGUGGGCUUCCUGGAGACAAUCUCACCUGGCUACUCCAUUCACACCUACCUGUGGCGUCGCCAGUGAUGGAGCAGAUACUCAAGGAGGCACUGGGCUCAGCCUGGGCAUUAAAGGGACAGAGUCAGCUCACACGCUGUCUGUGACUAAAGAGGGCACAGCAGGGCCAGUGUGAGCUUACAGCGACGUAAGCCCAGGGGCAAUGGUUUGGGUGACUCACUUUCCCCUCUAGGUGGUGCCAGGGGCUGGAGGCCCCUAGAAAAAGAUCAGUAAGCCCCAGUGUCCCCCCAGCCCCCAUGCUUAUGUGAACAUGCGCUGUGUGCUGCUUGCUUUGGAAACUGGGCCUGGGUCCAGGCCUAGGGUGAGCUCACUGUCCGUACAAACACAAGAUCAGGGCUGAGGGUAAGGAAAAGAAGAGACUAGGAAAGCUGGGCCCAAAACUGGAGACUGUUUGUCUUUCCUGGAGAUGCAGAACUGGGCCCGUGGAGCAGCAGUGUCAGCAUCAGGGCGGAAGCCUUAAAGCAGCAGCGGGUGUGCCCAGGCACCCAGAUGAUUCCUAUGGCACCAGCCAGGAAAAAUGGCAGCUCUUAAAGGAGAAAAUGUUUGAGCCCA